AUAACUCUACAGUUCACGUGAUGAGUCAGCACACGGGGCGAGCCAACACCUUUCUUACGGGAGCAUGACAAAAGAACGUGGAUGUGGUAGCCGUCCAGGCAAGACGGAAGCGUUCAGUCGGCACCCACCUGCUUACGCAGGUUCGUACCCACUGAUUCACACGGUCCUGUAGAGUUUGA
rnacentral:other from 1 species